ensembl:lncRNA
UGGGCCGCUCCCGCGGCAUAUGGAGGUUCCCAGGCUAGGGGUCUAAUCGGAGCCGUAGCCCCCAGCCUACACCAGGGCCACAGCAACGCUGGAUCCGAGCUGUGUCUGCAACCUACACCACAGCUCAUGGCAACGCCGGAUCGUUAACCCACUGAGCAAGGGCAGGGACCGAACCCGCAACCUCAUGGUUCCUAGUCGGAUUCGUUAACCACUGUGCCACGAUGGGAACUCCCGAAGUAUAUUAAUUAUAGAUUACGGAAGAUAUCACAUUUAUAAAUCUAAAACAGAUGCUAUGAAAUACACUCUGAGGGCCAAAAAGAGAUCUUAAAUAUAAAUACUUGUCAGCCAAAAAUAAAAAUACAAAGGUUGGGUGAUAAAAUACAUUGUUCAAAAAGUAGAACAAGGGACAAAGAGAAAAUAAGAAACAAACAAAAAGAAUUAGAGUCAGAGAAUCGAUCGAGGAGAGCCAAUAUUUAACUAAUGAGAUUAUGGUUAGAGGGAGGAUGUAGAAAAUUCAAGGGAGAAAUUAUAAUGAAAACAGAACAAGGAAAAUUUUCAGAACUGAAAGAGACAGUCUGAAUAUUAACAAGGUAUACUCAUGUGACCAAAUAAUAGCUGACACUGAAGUAUCUCCAUACUAGGAGAGAAAAGUUUCCAGUGUUACUACAAUGAAAAAAAUGGGGUGACAUUAAAAGACAGGAAUCAGAAUGGAAACAGUUUUCUGAAUAGCAACUUUAUAUGCCAUCAGUAAAAGGAACAUUUCUUUCAAAAUCCGAGGGACUCUUUCAACCUAUAAUUUUAUCCCCAGUCAAACUAUCAAUUAAAUGAAAUGAAAAGAAAGAUACCUUUGCAAGCCAAACUCUCAAAACUUUGACCUCUGCAUCUAUUUUUAUGAAGGUAUUGAAAAAUGUAUGUCAGCUAAAUAAGGGACAAAGCAGAACCGUUGUCCCUCAGUAUCCACAGGGGGUUGGUUCCAAGAUCCACCAAAUUCUCCAGAUGCUCAAGUGCUAUAGUUGGAUGUCCCUAUCCAAGGGCCGCACACCUGCAGAUUCAACUAAGCUCAAUUGUGUCUUAAGUUUGCGCUCAGUGAUGGGUUGAAUCCUCAGACGUGGAAUUUGCAGACACAGAGCUACAAUUACGUAUAUAUUGAAAAAAAAGUCCUCCUGUAAGUGGACACUGACUAUUCAAAAUCCUGUUGUUCAAGGGUCCACUGAAUAUACUGUUUCUUAUAAGAGGGGACCAACACGGGAAAGUAUUGAAGGAAAGAAGUCCUCGGGUAACAGCUGACAGAGCAAACUGGAUAAAUGAAAGAUAGAUAAGGGAGGAUCUUGGUGAAAGGGUCUCCAGAAAAUAAAUAUGAUUGAUAGGUUUCUGACAUGUUUAAUAUUUAAGGGGAAAGAUUGAUAUUCAAUGAGAUAAUGUGAAAAGUCAAUAUAAUUAAAUAGAAAAUGAUGCAAACGAACAAAAAUUAUCUGUUCUAGGUAAGAUGCUUUCCAGGAAAGGAAAUGUAAUCAUAGUACACUCAUGUGUAUAGCAAUAAGAUAAAAACCAUUAGUUUUUUAAAAAAAGAAAAAAAAACAUGACAACACUAUUGGGAGACUAGAAAGGGAAUGUUCAAUGUUUGUGAGUGUAUUUGUUAGUUGGAAAGUAAGGGGGGCAUGAAAUAGGUGAAGGGGAUUAAGAGGUACAAACUUCCAGUUAUAAAAUUUCAAGGAGUUCCCGUCGUGGCACAGUGGUUAACGAAUCCGACUGGGAACCAUGAGGUUGCAGGUUCUAUCCCUGGCCUCGCUCAGUGGGUUAAGGAUCCAGCGUUGCAGUGAGCUGUGGUAUAGGUUACAGACUCGGCUUGGAUCCCGCAUUGCUGUGGCUCUGGCGUAGGCCAGUGGCUACAGCUCCGAUUAGACCCCUAGCCUGGGAACCUCCAUAUGCCGUGGGAGUGCCCCAAGAAAUGGCAAAAAGACACACACACACAAAAAAAAAAAUUCAAAAAACAUGGAGGCAUAAUAUAUAGCACAAGGAAUAUUAUAAUAACUUGUAUGGGUACAGUUGUUACAAGACUUACUGUGUUAAUCACUUCAUAAUGUAUGCAAGUGUAAAAUCCCUAUGUGGUACACCUGAAACUAACAUAACUAUAUUUCAAUAAUAAAAGUAAGGAGGAGGUCAAGUAACUAAGAGAUUAAAAAAGUUAAAUCCUUCUAUAUCAUAAGAAGAUGUAAAUUAUAAAACUGAAUGUCAAAAUAAAGCAGUGUAAACAUGUUACUUAGAAAUAUUGAGAUAAAUUCUAGCGAAACCACUCAUAGACGAGGGCUGGAGAAUCAAGAAUCUAUUGUCUUUCUUUGUGGUUUUCAGAUCAUUUUGAUUUUUUUUUUUUUGGUCUUAUGGAGGUUCCCAGGCUAGGGGGUCCAGUCGGAGCUGAAGUCACUGGCCUAAGCCACAGCCACAGCAAUGCCAGAUCCAAGCCCCAUCUGUGACCUACCUACACCACAGCUCAGGCAACACCAGAUCCUUAAGCCACUGAGCAAGGCCAGGGAUUGUAUCUGCAGCCUCAUGAUACUAGUCGGGUUCAUUAACUGCUGAGCCAUGAU